AACGAACGCUGGCGGCAUGCCUAACACAUGCAAGUCGAACGAGACCUUCAGGUCUAGUGGCGCACGGGUGCGUAACGCGUGGGAACCUGCCCUUAGGUUCGGAAUAACUCCCCGAAAGGGGUGCUAAUACCGGAUAAUGUCUUCGGACCAAAGAUUUAUCGCCUUUGGAUGGGCCCGCGUUGGAUUGCUAGUUGGUAGGGUAAAAGCCUACCAAGGCGACGAUCCAUAGCUGGUCUGAGAGGAUGAUCAGCCACACUGGGACUGAGACACGGCCCAGACUCCUACGGGAGGCAGCAGUGGGGAAUAUUGGACAAUGGGCGAAAGCCUGAUCCAGCAAUGCCGCGUGAGUGAUGAAGGCCUUAGGGUUGUAAAGCUCUUUUACCCGGGAUGAUAAUGACAGUACCGGGAGAAUAAGCUCCGGCUAACUCCGUG
rnacentral:rRNA from 1 species